rnacentral:rRNA from 1 species
UACAGAGGGUGCGAGCGUUAAUCGGAAUUACUGGGCGUAAAGCGUGCGUAGACGGUUAUGUAAGUCGGGUGUGAAAGCCCCGGGCUCAACCUGGGAAUUGCAUUCGAGACUGCGUAGCUAGGAUGCGGAAGAGGGAAGUGGAAUUUCCGGUGUAGCAGUGAAAUGCGUAGAGAUGUGGAGGAACACCGAUGGCGAAGGCAGCCCCCUGGGUCAAGAUUGACGCUCAUGCACGAAAGCGUGGGGAGCAAACAGG